UACAGAGGGUGCGAGCGUUAAUCGGAAUUACUGGGCGUAAAGCGUGCGUAGGCGGUAGCUUAAGUCAGAUGUGAAAGCCCCGGGCUCAACCUGGGAACUGCAUUUGAAACUGCGAUGCUCGGGUGCGGAAGAGGGAAGCGGAAUUUCCGGUGUAGCGGUGAAAUGCGUAGAUAUCGGAAGGAACACCAGUGGCGAAAGCGGAUUCCUGGUCCGACACAGACGCUCAGGCACGAAAGCGUGGGGAGCAAACGGG
rnacentral:rRNA from 1 species